AGAAUAAUAGUUAAAAUUAUAACAUUUAAAUUGCAUUUAAAAAUUAUUAUAAAAAUUUAUUUUA
rnacentral:tRNA from 1 species